AUACGGAGGAUCCGAGCGUUAUCCGGAUUUAUUGGGUUUAAAGGGUGCGCAGGCGGCCAUUUAAGUCAGCGGUUAAAUCGUGGGGCUCAACCCCAUUCUGCCGUUGAUACUGGGUGGCUUGAUUGCGGUCGAGGUUGGCGGAAUUCGUUGUGUAGCGGUGAAAUGCAUAGAUAUGACGAAGAACACCGAUUGCGUAGGCAGCUGACCAGACCGCAAAUGACGCUCAUGCACGAAAGUGCGGGGAUCGAACAGGAUUAGAUGCCCUGGUAGUCCGCACAGUAAACGAUGAAUACUUGUUUUCGGCGAUAUAAUGUCGGAGGCAAAGCGAAAGCGAUAAGUAUUCCACCUGGGGAGUACGCCGGCAACGGUGAAACUCAAAUGAAUUGACGGGG
rnacentral:rRNA from 1 species